rnacentral:rRNA from 1 species
GAUCAUGGCUCAGAUUGAACGCUGCGGCAUGCCUUACACAUGCAAGUCGAACGGCAGCACGGGGCAACCUGGUGGCGAGUGGCGAACGGGUGAGUAAUGCAUCGGAACGUGCCAUUGAGUGGGGGGUAACGUAGCGAAAGUUACGCUAAUACCGCAUAUUCUGUGAGCAGGAAAGCAGGGGAUCGCAAGACCUUGCGCUCUUUGAGCGGCCGAUGUCAGAUUAGCUAGUUGGUGAGGUAACGGCUUACCAAGGCGACGAUCUGUAGCGGGUCUGAGAGGAUGAUCCGCCACACUGGAACUGAGACACGGUCCAGACUCCUACGGGAGGCAGCAGUGGGGAAUUUUGGACAAUGGGGGCAACCCUGAUCCAGCCAUGCCGCGUGAGUGAAGAAGGCCUUCGGGUUGUAAAGCUCUUUCGGCCGGGAAGAAAUCGCAUGGGUUAAUACCCUGUGUGGAUGACGGUACCGGCAUAAGAAGCACCGGCUAACUACGUG